rnacentral:rRNA from 1 species
AUUGAACGCUGGCGGCAGGCCUAACACAUGCAAGUCGAACGGUAACAGGAAGAAGCUUGCUUCUUUGCUGACGAGUGGCGGACGGGUGAGUAAUGUCUGGGAAACUGCCUGAUGGAGGGGGAUAACUACUGGAAACGGUAGCUAAUACCGCAUAACGUCGCAAGACCAAAAAGGGGGACCUUCGGGCCUCUUGCCAUCGGAUGUGCCCAGAUGGGAUUAGCUAGUAGGUGGGGUAACGGCUCACCUAGGCGACGAUCCCUAGCUGGUCUGAGAGGAUGACCAGCCACACUGGAACUGAGACACGGUCCAGACUCCUACGGGAGGCAGCAGUGGGGAAUAUUGCACAAUGGGCGCAAGCCUGAUGCAGCCAUGCCGCGUGUAUGGAGAAGGCCUUCGGGUUGUAAAGUACUUUCAGCGGGGAGGAAGGGAGUAAAGUUAAUACCUUUGCUCAUUGACGUUACCCGCAGAAGAAGCACCGGCUAACUCCGUG